GGGCAGGGCGGCAUGCUAUACAUGCAGUCGAGCGAGCUGAACAACAGAUUCACUUCGGUGAUGACGUUGGGAACGCGAGCGGCGGAUGGGUGAGUAACACGUGGGGAACCUGCCCCAUAGUCUGGGAUACCACUUGGAAACAGGUGCUAAUACCGGAUAAGAAAGCAGAUCGCAUGAUCAGCUUAUAAAAGGCGGCGUAAGCUGUCGCUAUGGGAUGGCCCCGCGGUGCAUUAGCUAGUUGGUAGGGUAACGGCCUACCAAGGCAAUGAUGCAUAGCCGAGUUGAGAGACUGAUCGGCCACAUUGGGACUGAGACACGGCCCAAACUCCUACGGGAGGCAGCAGUAGGGAAUCUUCCACAAUGGACGAAAGUCUGAUGGAGCAACGCCGCGUGAGUGAAGAAGGUUUUCGGAUCGUAAAGCUCUGUUGUUGGUGAAGAAGGAUAGAGGUAGUAACUGGCCUUUAUUUGACGGUAAUCAACCAGAAAGUCACGGCUAACUACGUGCCAGCAGCCGCGGUAAUACGUAGGUGGCAAGCGUUGUCCGGAUUUAUUGGGCGUAAAGCGAGCGCAGGCGGAAGAAUAAGUCUGAUGUGAAAGCCCUCGGCUUAACCGAGGAACUGCAUCGGAAACUGUUUUUCUUGAGUGCAGAAGAGGAGAGUGGAACUCCAUGUGUAGCGGUGGAAUGCGUAGAUAUAUGGAAGAACACCAGUGGCGAAGGCGGCUCUCUGGUCUGCAACUGACGCUGAGGCUCGAAAGCAUGGGUAGCGAACAGGAUUAGAUACCCUGGUAGUCCAUGCCGUAAACGAUGAGUGCUAAGUGUUUGGGAGGUUUCCCGCCUCUCAGUGCUGCAGCUAACGCAUUAAGCACUCCGCCUGGGGGAGUACGACCGCAAGGUUGAAACUCAAAGGAAUUGACGGGGGCCCGCACAAGCGGUGGAGCAUGUGGUUUAAUUCGAAGCAACGCGAAGAACCUUACCAGGUCUUGACAUCUAGUGCAAUCCGUAGAGAUACGGAGUUCCCUUCGGGGACACUAAGACAGGUGGUGCAUGGCUGUCGUCAGCUCCUGUCGUGAGAAGUUUGGGUUAAUUCCCCCACCAAGCGCACCCCUUGUCAUUAUUUGCCGCCAUUAAAUUGGGGCCUCCAAUGAGACUGCCGGUGACAACCCAAGAAAAGGGGGGGGGUGAGGGGCCAGGUCUUCAUGGCCCCUCUUAAACUGGGGUGUCAACACUGGUUUCAUUGGGGAGUUCAACCCGGGGAGAGG
rnacentral:rRNA from 1 species